CAUUAAUCAGUAACACAACAUCAGGCAUGGUGCUCCUGUUGGACACGGGCAUGUAUCCAGCCUACCUCACCUUUCCCAGUCACCUACCCUCAUUAAAAUAAAAUCUCAGCCUCUUAUUUCUUAAGACACUAAAUAAGGUCAGCUGCUUGUAUUUGAGGUUAAAAAUAUACCAGCCGGAAAGAGUAUGUAAUGACAAGGAAAAUAAGCAC